UCACGGGUCCAUUUUGACUGCUAGCCACAUCCUGUUUUGGGGGUCGGCACCUCUUCACGGGGGUUGCUCCGACUUUCAAGAUCUCUUUCGAAGACUAUGUGUGCUCUUCACUGAGUUGCACAUUGGGACUCGAAACUUUUACUUUGAAAAAAUUAGAGUGUUCAAAGCAGGCCUUAUACGCUUGAAUACAUUAGCAUGGAAUAAUGGAAUAGGACUUUGGUCUUAUUUUGUUGGUUUCUAGGACCGAAGUAAUGAUUAAUAGGGACAGUUGGGGGCAUUCGUAUUUAAUUGUCAGAGGUGAAAUUCUUGGAUUUAUGAAAGACGAACUUCUGCGAAAGCAUUUGCCAAGGAUGUUUUCAUUAAUCAAGAACGAAAGUUAGGGGAUCGAAGACGAUUAGAUACCGUCGUAGUCCUAACCAUAAACGAUGCCGACUAGGGAUCAGUGGGGAUUUCACAAAAAGACCCCAUUGGCACCUUAUGAGAAAUCAAAGUUUUUGGGUUCUGGGGGGUGUAUGGUACGCAAGACUGAAACUUAAAGGAAUUGACGGAAGGGCACACCAGAAAUGGAGCCUGCGGCUUAAUUUGACUCAACACGGGGAAACUCACCAGGUCCAGACAUAAUAAGGAUUGACAGAUUGAGAGCUCUUUCUUGAUUUUAUGGGUGGUGGUGCAUGGCCGUUCUUAGUUGGUGGAGUGAUUUGUCUGGUUAAUUCCGAUAACGAACGAGACCUCAGCCUGCUAAAUAGUUACGCCAUUCCUUUCAUGGAAUGCGCGGUCAUACUUCUUAGAGGGACUAUCGGUGACUAUCCGAUGGAAGUUUGAGGCAAUAACAGGUCUGUGAUGCCCUUAGAUGAUUCUGGGCCGCACGCGCGCUACACUGGCAGAGGCAACGAGUUUAUAGCCUUGGAUCGGAAGGUCUGGGUAAUCUUCUGAAACUCUGCCGUGAUGGGGAUAGAUCUUUGUAAUUAUCGAUCUUCAACGAGGAAUUCCUAGUAAGCGCGGUUCAUCAGAUCGCGUUGAUUACGUCCCUGCCCUUUGUACACACCGCCCGUCGCUACUACCGAGUGAGUGGUUCAGUGAGGUCUCGGGACCGAGUCCAUAAGCUGUCAAAGGCUAAUGGAUUUGGGAACUUGCUCAAACUCGACCACU
rnacentral:rRNA from 1 species